AUUGAACGCUGGCGGCAGGCCUAACACAUGCAAGUCGAACGAGUGGCGGACGGGUGAGUAACGUCUGGGAAACUGCCCGAUGGCGGGGGAUAACUACUGGAAACGGUAGCUAAUACCGCAUACCAUCGGAGGUGCCCAGAUGGGAUUAGCUAGUAGGUGGGGUAAAGGUUCACCUAGGCGACGACCCCUAGCUGUUCUGAGAGGAUGACCAGCCACACGGGAACUGAGACACGGUCCAGACUCCGACGGUAGGCAGCAGUGGGGAAUAUUGCACAAUGGGCGCAAGCCUGAUACAGCCAGGCCGCUUGGAUGAAGAAGGCCUUCGGGUUGUAAAGUACUUUCAGCGGGGAGGCGUUACCCGCAGAAGAAGCACCGGCUAACUCCGUGCCAGCAGCCGCGGUAAUUC
rnacentral:rRNA from 1 species